AUACUGACUGAUAUAAUGUUUGUUUCACAAGGUCAUAUAAUGAUUUAAUGUAAAUGUAAGUACAGUCUUCAUCUAUAAAGUGAACAAUAUGUAUACCACUGUACAGCAUCAAGUUACAAUGUUGUAUAUAUCAACCUGUAUUGUAAUAUGUAUAUAUCAUGUACAAGGUACACCAACAAUAGAAACAGUACCAUCUACCGUAACACAAGGUGAAUCAGCUUCUAUAAGAUGUACUAAUUUAGAGUUCGUUAGCAUACUGAAAUAUAACACGGCUGCUGUUGGUGGCUAUGCUACUAUAACCAACUGUUUUCUGGACGAAACUAGUUGUGCAUUAGCACUGAGCAAUCAAAAUCAACAAUAUAUUGGAAUAUAUACCAUCAGUCAAACUAAUACCAGUGUAUCUGUUAAUAUAGCUAAUGUAUCUAGAGAUAGAGAUGGUGGAAUGUGGAGAUGUGAAGAUCUGCCUGGUACAGUUGAUACCAUAGUUAUAGAUGUUAAAGUACCUGUGCCAAAUGUUACUAUCUUUAGUAACAAUAUUUUAAUAUUUAGUGAUGGUUUAAAUACAGAUAUCAUCUGUAAAUCUGGAGUAUCGUAUCCUCAUGCUACUAUCACGUGGUCUAUUAAUGGCAGGAAUAAUGUAGGAAGUGGAACUACAAGUAAUAACUCUGAUGGAACUACUACCAGUAUAUUACAGUAUACAGCUGAUAAAUCUGAUCAUGAUAAAAUACUACAAUGUGCAGCUACUAAUGGUUAUGGUACAUCUAAAACAGAUUCUAUAACAUUGAAUAUUACAUGUUGUGGGGGUCGCUUGAUUUAUUUCGG